CCAGAGGGACUGCACAGAAAACUCACGAUUAAGGUUAACAGGGGCCAGGAGGAGAUCUAUGCAUUCAGAUAUUAAAUUAAUAAGUAACAAGUGCAUUAAAAAUAUGUGACCAAGACCUCUGAUGCAUUAGUAACAAGAUGCUAGCUUAGCUUCCCAACUAGACUUUGUUGGAUUUUUUAAAAACAGAAUUUUAUCUGUGUUUUUCAAACUAGGCCAAGAGGCCUCCUCUAUUUCUAAAACACAAAAAUUCUUUCUGUUCCUCUUCUCAAACCAAAUCAGACUCUGGACACACCCAGGAGCUCACUGUGUCUUUUAGUUAACUCUCUGUCGCCUUUCACUUGAGAGAAAGUUCUGCCGGUAACAAAACCUGCUAUACUAGCCAAGAGGGAAAAGGACUUGAAGGAAGAGGAAGAACACGUUUUUAAUAAUUGUUCUCAAAUCAUAUGAGGAUAAAAAGUAAAAGAAGUCGAGAAAUAUGCCACUCCAUGCAGGAGUCACUCUGGACAAGUGUUUCCAAGCUAUGGCCUAUAGGUCAGCCAUCAUGGCAACCAAAGGAGAAUGUAAUUACAAAUGAGGACCUGUGAGGAGUGUCUAAGACAGUUCCCACAAAGGGUACAGUGGAGAAAAAAAAUCUGUGCAAACGAAGAAAGGCGACACUGGAAACUCAUGAGAGCAGAGAAGAAAAAGUUCACAGGAGGUGACAGUGGGAAUGAAGAUGAGGCUGGAGAGGAGGAGGUGUUGGAGCAAUGUCUUAUGCCUGGUGAUAAAUGAAAAUGCUGAAUUUCCACAGAGACAUCCUGUGAAGGACCCUGCUGGAAAACAUUCAGUGGUGCUGCUGACAGCAAAGCUGCAAGAUGACUAGUGUCCGUGUGUUGGAAGUGAAAGGUUCUCCGUGUUAUUUGUCUUGUUUUUGGUUGUUGGAUGUAGGUAAUACACCUUAUAAUUCAGCAAACCCAGACUGGAUGAGUGCAACUAAUGCCACGUAAAUUUAAACAUCAACUUCUGAGGUAAGGAAGAGAAGAAAGUAAAUGAAAACGGGGUAUUGACUCUUAAAUGUGACACCCUAGGGAGGCAGUUUGCAUAGUGGUUAAGAACACAGACCAGAUUUGCCUGCAUUUGAAUCUAACUUCCUUUUUUGACUAUGUGACUCUGGGCACAUUUCUUAUCUUUUCUUUGCCUCAGCUUUCUCAUCUUUAAAGUUGGAGGACAGUUUGACCUCAUGGGGUUAUUACAAGGAUUAAUUUAGUUUAUUAACAGUACUUAGAACAUUGCCUGGCAAUAGUAAACACCACAUAAAUGUCAGUUACUAUCACUCAAAAUUAUAAUAAUGAAUAGAUGAAGGCUCCAGAAACAUUUUUAGCUUUUAGAAGUCUGAGGUUUGUUUUUUUUUUUUUUUUUUUUGUAGUGUUUUUGAAUUUUAAAAGAUCACCAAUGGGGCUUGGAUUACUCCAAGAAAAAAAAAGUGUGGCUUCAUACACUGAUAAAUGAGUUUUUAAGAGAGAAACCAUUUUGUAUGACCCAGUACAAGGAGUAAAGUUGACUCACAGGAGAUGUCUGGCUGGCAUGAAAACCAUUAAAGAAAAUCCUGAGCACGAUGUUGACCUCAACUCAGAAACACAUGCUUUACAUUAUCAUCCUAUCACUUAUUGAGCUCCUGGCAUGUGUCGCUGAAACAGACAGACUUGUUGUUUUUGUAAUUUUUUUCAAGUAGUCAUUCUCUGUUAUUGCUUUUGAUUUAGAUAAACGACCUUCUAACUAACUACUGGGAAACCUUUUGUAGACUUUAUUUGUGAUGGUUAUGUGAAGUGAUAGCUGCGAAAGACUGUCAAAAUCGCUCUUAACAGUGUGCUUUUCCAAAAGAAAGGCCAAUUUCUUUGAAAGUAAUAAUGAAAGAAUAAUACAAUCCCAGAUAUAAGAAGGAAUAAGGUCUGUGAGCUCAUGGAUGGCAUUCAUCUCCGAAGACAGGAAAGUCUGUCUCAGGAGCUAACCGGUUUUGCUUGCUUCCUACCGCUGAGUACACUUGAGUAGCUACAAUGGGAGCAAAGUACACUGGGCAGUGCCCCAGCAAAUGACUUUUCUUGCCAGGAAAGACUAGGGCAAUUCUGCCUCUACAGUAAAGGCUGAUUCACAGCUGUAUAAGAGUCUGGCUUUUCACUGAAGAUGUGACUACCUUGAAUGGCCUGAAUGUUCAUUAUAUAUUCAGUAUAUGUACUACUUUUAAUAGGGCUUCCCCGGUGGUUCAGCGGUACGGAAUUGGCCUGCAAUGCUAGAGACACAGGAGACAUGGGUUCCAUGCCCUGGGCUGGGAAGAUCCCCUGGAGGAGGGCAUGGCUACCCGCUCCAGUA